rnacentral:rRNA from 1 species
CGAACGGGUGAGUACACGUGAGUAACCUGCCCUUGACUCUGGGAUAAGCCUGGGAAACUGGGUCUAAUACCGGAUACGACCAUUGCCCGCAUGGGUUGGUGGUGGAAAGCUUUUGUGGUUUUGGAUGGACUCGCGGCCUAUCAGCUUGUUGGUGAGGUAAUGGCUCACCAAGGCGACGACGGGUAGCCGGCCUGAGAGGGUGACCGGCCACACUGGGACUGAGACACGGCCCAGACUCCUACGGGAGGCAGCAGUGGGGAAUAUUGCACAAUGGGCGAAAGCCUGAUGCAGCGACGCCGCGUGAGGGAUGACGGCCUUCGGGUUGUAAACCUCUUUCAGUAGGGAAGAAGCGAAAGUGACGGUACCUGCAGAAGAAGCGCCGGCUAACUACGUGCCAGCAGCCGCGGUAAUACGUAGGGCGCAAGCGUUAUCCGGAAUUAUUGGGCGUAAAGAGCUCGUAGGCGGUUUGUCGCGUCUGCUGUGAAAGGCCAGGGCUCAACCCUGGUUCUGCAGUGGGUACGGGCAGACUUGAGUGAUGUAGGGGAGACUGGAAUUCCUGGUGUAGCGGUGAAAUGCGCAGAUAUCAGGAGGAACACCGAUGGCGAAGGCAGGUCUCUGGGCAUUAACUGACGCUGAGGAGCGAAAGCAUGGGGAGCGAACAGGAUUAGAUACCCUGGUAGUCCAUGCCGUAAACGUUGGGCACU